UUGCGGUCAUAUUACGCUGAAACAUUGGUUCUCGUUCGAUCACCGAAGUUAAGCAACGUUAAGUCUGGUCAGCACUGAGAUGAGUAAACGCUGGGAAAUAUCAGGUGUU